GUUUGUGUAGCUCAGUGGUAGAGUACAUGCUUUGUGUGUAUGAUGUCCUGGGUUCAAUCCCCAGCUUCUCUA